UACGGAGGGGGCGAGCGUUAUUCGGAAUUAUUGGGCGUAAAGGGCGCGUAGGCGGCUGUACAAGUCAAAGGUGAAAUCCCUCGGCUCAACUGAGGAACUGCCUUUGAAACUGUACGGCUUGAGGCCGGGAGGGGGUAGCGGAAUUCCCAGUGUAGCGGUGAAAUGCGUAGAUACUGGGAGGAACACCAGUGGCGAAGGCGGCUACCCGGACCGGCUCUGACGCUGAGGCGCGAAAGCGUGGGUAGCAAACAGG
rnacentral:rRNA from 1 species